CUUCCUUACCCGGCCCUCCAUACAGUUUUGCAACACCAAUGUGGCCCUCGGGCCAAAAAGUUUGCCCACCCCGAAGCAGAGGGAGGCUCCAAAAGUAUAAUUAAAAGUGAAUUGCCUCCAAGCUGAGUUAAUUUUUCAUCCUAUGCAAUUAUAAAGAGAAGUGUAAAAUGGGGGGGAGGGGUUGUUUUGUUUAAAUGAAGGUGGAUAAAACAAUGCAUACAAAAACCACUCCAGAUAGUGUCCUAUCUCUAUCAAAAUCAAACAGUAUUGGUAUAAAAAUGAAUAGUAUUUUAGUAUUAUAAUAGUAUCAAUCUUAAAGCAAUGUUGGUCAAAAAAGGGAAACACUUUGAAGUAGACAAGGGCUUCUACUGAAAAUGUUCAGCCCGCAGUCAAAGUGGUGACAAAACAUUCUCAGUUACAUCUGAGCCACGUCUGGCUCCCUGAUUGGUUGUCUUCAGGAAACACUAAAACUUUCAUUUUCAAAACAGUCUUCCCCCAUAAGUAUGAAAUUCACAUAUUUACCCACACUUUUACCCCAAAAACACACCCACCUGAAACAUCAACUCAUUUAAAAACAAAAAAACACCAUACCUCAAUAUAAAAUCAGUAGCGACAUUUCCAGUGGACUUCCUGGGAGACAAGCCCUACUCCCUUUGAAGAUGUUUAUAAUCUGGUUUAAGCAAUAUUGAGGCUCAUUUUCUGCUACUUUCAAAGUGUACGUGACUACUUCAAACUUCUACCUCAAGUUUACUUUUUGUAGGAGUUGACUUAAAUGCUUCAAACAUUUGUUUAAUUUACAAACAAGUUGCAUAUACUCAAAUGCUAGCAUAUUAAGUAAUCUAGGUCAAUUUGUAGCAACACUAAAAUGUCUCUUACAUUGUCAUAUCACUAUUAUCUGUAACUUGAAGGUUUUGGACAUGUUAGCUAAAUUCACCAACUCCAUUUACUUUGCUGGAAUUAACAGCAUUAAACUUGCCCUCUUUGUAUUUUCAGUAGGUCUAGUUAAUGAAGCAAAGCAAAGCUUUGGUCAUUUUGGACUAUAUCUCAGUAAAGCAAGCCAGCGUUCAAAGCUUCCAGAGUGCAAUUGCCAUGCAUUGUGCCAAAUGGUGGCAUGUGACACACUGGGCUACCUACCCAUGGUGCAUCACACUUUGGCUCAGCACGGCAUGUACUUACCAGGAGUGCUUGUGUCGAUGCAAUCAGCCAAGCAUGCACACCAAUAAGCUCUAGACUAACUUUGGCAGCUGUACACCAAUGUAACUUGUAUCAACCAAAGUUUGUAGUGCAGACAUGGCGAAAUAUAGAGUCGUUAGAUAUUGUCUAGGCUGUGGAAACAUCUCAGCUGGCAGGUUUUGCCCUGCCACUGACUGAACGGUCAGAUAUUCCUCCAAAGCUGCAUAAAGCAGAGACCCUCCCACCAUCAUGGAUCUGUGACCUUCCUUACUCCAAGGGAAAUGUUCAUGUUCCCAGCCUAACCUGCUCAAACCAGACUUAAUGAAAGGCAGGGAGGCAAGAGUAGAGAUUCAAACUGGUGAAUUCUUGGUGUUUGCCUACAAACAAAAGAAAGUAUUCACUAAAGAUUCAGUUCACUAAACAGAAGUAAGGUCUUAUCUAGCCUAAUUUCAAUAAGUGGUGUAGCUGUGCUGCUGCUAAUUCUUGUUUUCACCCCUCAGCUCAGAACAAUCCCAUGAUCUUCACUGGCAGAGUAUACCCCAUAUUUCAAGCUUUCCUUGGCCAGGUAUGUUGUUGGCUUUUGUUUAAUUGAUGGGCAGGGGAGGAAAAUCAUGUGUAUUGUUUAGAAGCCUAUGUUUAGGCUCCCAUUAUUUUUUAAUCUUGGCCUUUAUCCACAAUAGGGUUUUGCAUUGAUGAAACACAGCUUGUUGGACACAGGAUCAGGAUUUAUGUGGCUCACAGGAAUAUGCAGAGUAGUUACAGUAAAUGCUACUGUUUAAUCAAGGAGAUUUAAAUCCUCACGCUUUAGGCCUCUCAAGGGGAGAAUGAAUUUUCCAGGAAGCUGGUUAUCCUAUAGCUGCCUGCUGCAGGGUGUCUCUGAAGCAUCUGGGACUAGCCUUUAAAGUGACUGGAUGAGGUGGACCACUAGUCUGACAACUAUAUUGUUAUACUACGUUCCUAUAUUGCUGAAAUUAGUGCUAAUCACCCUUAAGGCCUAAACAAAGGAGACAAAUUGAAAGAUCAAAGGGGAGGAAAGGCAGGGGUGGAUAAUGUGAGAGUCAUCUAUAACUGGUUGUUGGUUCUCAACCUCUCCCCUUUCCUGGGCAGUUCCAUAUAGAAGGAAGCCAUCCUUUGCUAGAAGUUCCCUUAAGCUCAGGCAGAGCCAGUCAAGCUGUUCUCCUUGAGGCUCCUAUAGGCUGGUAAGCAAUGGAAGUGAGGAGAGAUGUCCGCUGUUCCUCCCCCUAGUAACACACCUGAUUUAAAUAUAAGAGUUUAAAAGUAAUAGUGUACUGCUCAAGGAACACACUUUAAAUUCAUCCUUAAAUACAUAUUUUUUUCUUAAACUGUCACCCUCAGUGGGCAAUGGACUGGACACAGCUACUUUAAACCAAGUGAUGUCCCACCUGAUUGUGGCCUUCAUGCCGCAAUUUGAAAACAUUAUCUUAUAGUUUAAAAGAUAACCUUCAAAAUGUUACCCAAUGUAAUUAUUUCUAUGUAUAGCUUUAGACAAUAGCUCUAAAAUGUGUGAAUUGCUCCUAUUCAUGCUAGAGUCUACUGAACAUAGUUGGCACCACUAACUUUUAUUUGCUAGUCUCUAGAGUAGAAUCAUCAAGCUAACUGUACUAUUAUUGGAGGCAGUGGCAGAUACUGAGUGAAGCAGCUACUUUGGAAUCAACAUGCCCCACUCCAAACCUGCCCCCCGCCCCAAAAUGCAGUGCUUCCAUGUACCAAACAUCAACUACUUGGGCUUGCAACCUCCUCCUAUGGGCCACAAAUUCUAGCUAUCAGUCUCUAGUUUUUACUUGGCAAGUUCUGUAAUACAUUUCACUAAUUGCCUUAAAUUUUCUAGGUCUUCUACAAUGUAAAAUAUACUGAAUGUUAGGGGAAAGUGUAGUAAUUGUAGCAGUCAGAGGGAGACGGUGCUGUAUAAUUCAGGUCUAACAGGAGCUCUUAUAAUCAUACCCUGGCAGCUCUACCACCACUGCUAUGUUAGCAUAUUCCAUAGCAGAGUGUUCAUUUACAUAAAAGGAAUAAUGCUACCCACUGUUAUUAAACCAAAUAUUUUAAUAUUUAUUAACAAUUUACAAGUUUUGAUGUUGUUUCUGUAAUCAGUCACUUGUUCCAAAUGUUAUGCUUAUAAGAAGCACCCAGGAUCUUUUUCAGGGGAAAAGGCAAUACGCUGCGUUUAUUGGAGAUACAAUUAGCAUAUGCAUUCAAUCUCUCACACACACACACACACACACACACCCCCACACACCAAUCGAUGUUAUAGUUACCAGUCCAGAGUCCGGAGCAACCUAGCGGCCAGCUAGGUUGAUGACGGGUAGGGAGGAGCUGGGUUCUGGUGGUCGCAACACGAUCCUCUGGGGAAGUCUUGGCAGGACAAACCCAAAGUUUCAUGGCAAAGCACCCUGUUUAUAUAAUAAUAUUUCUUCAUUGGGACCAAUGAGUUUUGCACCGUCAUGCUGUACUCUAUCGCCGUUUGACGAGUGCUUGUUUUCUUAAAUUGUUCUUCUCAUCUUUAUCUUGGUUCCUUCAUCAGUCUCUGGGGGAGUUACCCCAUGCUGGUUUUGAUCAUAGCUAUCUUGUCCCGAUUGACGACUCUAAA